AUGGAAGUAUAAGCAGAGAUAGUGCUUUGAUGAACAGGUCUUGAGACAACCCUUCUCAGGAAGGAGGGCAACUGUGGGGACUUUCCCUUUUGGGUAGCAGAUGGCCAGCAAACCACAGGAUGAGUUCUCUCUGCCUCCCUUGUCUUAUGCCAUAAUUCUGAGAGUUCAGGAUAAGGAAGAUGAGACUCAGAGAAAUGAAAUUGUCUGCUUGGGGUUACAGAGCAGUCAGACUAGGACCCAAGAAUUUUGAUUCCUUUAUAUCUUAGGAGCCAGCGGUAUAUAUUUAUGAAGUGCAGAAGUUAUUCACUCACAGAAGAUCUUACUUUGAUGGACACUAGAAUUUCAACAUUUUCCUUUUGUACCUUGGACAGUAUUCUCCUUUAGAAAAUAUGAUGCCUGCCUCAUCUCUCUACAUUAAAUCUGAUUAUACAAACAAAAUCAAUGCAACCAAAAUUAGAAGGGAAACAACAAAAUGGGAAAAAAUAUAACAAAUUUCUCUGAUAAA